GGCGUGCCUAACACAUGCAAGUCGAACGGAGAAUAUACGCUUCAGAAGCUUCGGCAGAUGAUUGUAUAUUCUUAGUGGCGGACGGGUGAGUAACGCGUGGGCAACCUGCCUCAUACUGGGGGAUAACAGCUGGAAACGACUGUUAAUACCGCAUAAGCGCACAGUGUCGCAUGACACAGUGUGAAAAACUCCGGUGGUAUGAGAUGGGCCCGCGUCAGAUUAGCCAGUUGGCGGGGUAACGGCCCACCAAAGCGACGAUCUGUAGCCGGCCUGAGAGGGCGGACGGCCACAUUGGGACUGAGACACGGCCCAAACUCCUACGGGAGGCAGCAGUGGGGGAUAUUGCACAAUGGAGGAAACUCUGAUGCAGCGACGCCGCGUGAGUGAAGAAGUAUUUCGGUAUGUAAAGCUCUAUCAGCAGGGAAGAAAGGCUCGUAAGAGAGAUGACGGUACCUGACUAAGAAGCCCCGGCUAACUACGUGCCAGCAGCCGCGGUAAUACGUAGGGGGCAAGCGUUAUCCGGAUUUACUGGGUGUAAAGGGAGCGCAGACGGAUUUGCA
rnacentral:rRNA from 1 species